CUUUCUCUCUGUUUUGUCUCCCUCUCUCAAACACACUCACGCACGUUUCUGUUUUCCUUCAAAGCCACAUCCUGGAUAUCCUCCUUCAGGGGAGAGGAUUUACACUGUGGUUGUCCUUCAGGUAAACCGUCAGAGCCCUGCCAUGAAGCCCUUACUCCACACAAGGCCCCGACUUUCGGCUCAGCUACACAGUCAGCCUGGUCAAACUGGGGAAGAAUGGAAAAGUGGCUCGUCUUCUUUUGGGUCCUACGGGCGUUGGAGAAAUUCCAGAUUUGAGUCUAUAGUCCUGAGAGUGAUUCCUCUCUGAUUUGAAAAACAUGUCGUCUAAGAGAACCGGAAAAAGGGAGAGGAAGCACAACAGCUGUCUCGCCUUCAUUGGUAUUUUUGUUCUGGAUGUUUCCUGGUAUUGCUUCACCACAGAUCCAUGGAGGAGGCUUGAAGGGGGCUUGAAGAGGGCACCCAAGGCCAGCCAACUGAAGGAGACUCGACAGAAGGGCUGCACAUGUUCCAGACUACCAACACUCAGCUGCCAUCGGUAGCGGCGUUUUUACUGCACAAGUUGAAACUCAACUUGCUUCAUGGAAACUUGGCAAUUUUGAAAAAAUAAAACUCCCUUUUUUGUAAAUUCACCAAUAGGUGCAUAUACAGCAAACAUUACAGACUGACAAAACAGCAAAAAGGGGUAUUGAUCUACAAAAUAAUUAAACAGAUAAUAGAACAGAUGACAGCAAUAAAAAUAAAAUAACCAAACUAACAAAAGAAACAAGGAGGUAUACAUUAAAAUGGACACAUUCAAAACAAAAAUGAAGCGCAAAACAUAAUCAGUGUCACAACAAAAUCAAUGAAAUAGUUUAAGAAAUGUGGAUUAGGAUGCACUUUUUUCUUUUAAUCUUGGCAGCCAUUUUCUAACUUUGAAGAUAAUUUUUCUGUUCUCUAAUAUUGCUUGAUUAACCGAGAGUCACAGAUAUUUUGGGUUGAAGUGGAAAAGAGAGGGAGAAAAAAAGAAAGCAGACAAACAGACAAAUAAAUAAAUAAAGGAUAACAAAAACACUGUGAUCUUACAAUUAGCCUCCACCAUUUUCCCUCUCCUCUCCUGGUCUUUGCUUCCACAGUGACACUAAUUCACCAACAAUGAAAUGGCAUCUGGAAAAAUGGAGUAUAUUUUAUUGAAAUAUAAAAAACUCUGGUUUUCUGAUGAAAAGUUUGUGCGUGUUAGGAUGGCCCUUAGCAGCUGGAGGAAGUAGGAGACUUGAGGCAGAGAAACUGUGCAAACCCACUGGGUGUUUAUUCACCAACAUUUAACAGACAAACAACCCUGCUUACAGUGGCCUAGGGUCUUAGCAGCAACACACACUGUGGCCAACAUGCAGCCUUUUAUAGUCGCUGGCUGUUCCAAUUCACAAACCCACCAAGAAACAGGGUAAAACAAAAUACAUACACACACAGUUUGACAAACUAACUAACUAAAUCCUCAGAAUAAUAUAUAUUGCCAAAUACUAUUAAUUUUAAGCAUCUCUAAAACACAUUUUUAUCAAUAUAAAUAUAAAUCCAACAUUAAAUUUAUAAAAUGCCUAGCUCUACUGCUCCCCCUGUCCCAUCUGCUUUGGUCUCUUCUGGAACCUUUAAAAGGUGCUCAGGCCCCUGGGGAAUCUUUUAGCCUGAACACCCUGCAGAGGAAGAGAGAGGACACCAUCAGUUCCAGCUGAGAUGCAACUGAAUAAAACACAGAAUCAAUAAAACAUUUCAAUCUGUUUGUAUCCGUUUCAUUUCAUUCAUCAUGCAUUUCUUUUAUCAUUUAACACAUUUUAAGUGUUGUGCCGCCAAGUAAUGAAGACCUUCAUUACAGUGCGCUUCGGCCAUUUUGAAAUAGUUGUAUUUUCCACAACUGCAAUGGAAACCUUUUUUUUCCACAUCACACAAGUCACAUGAUGAACAGGCGAAAACCUCAAAAGGAAGUAGUACAUGAAUGAUGUUUUAUUGUUUUUUUUCAGAUAGUAUGCAGCUAGCUCCACUUCAGCUCUCGCGUUAUCACACCGUUCAUAAAAAGUUGUGCAUAAUUCGAACAUGUUGAAUCUCAUAGAUCUUCUGUAAAAUCGGCGACUACAAUUUCCCUAAAUCGCCCCCAAAACACACGUAGCCGCUCUAUUAGGGGCUUGUCACUCGAACACCUCAA